GACGAACGCUGGCGGCGUGCUUAACACAUGCAAGUCGAACGGAAAGGCCCUGCUUUUGUGGGGUGCUCGAGUGGCGAACGGGUGAGUAACACGUGAGUAACCUGCCCUUGACUUUGGGAUAACUUCAGGAAACUGGGGCUAAUACCGGAUAGGAGCUCCUGCUGCAUGGUGGGGGUUGGAAAGUUUCGGCGGUUGGGGAUGGACUCGCGGCUUAUCAGCUUGUUGGUGGGGUAGUGGCUUACCAAGGCUUUGACGGGUAGCCGGCCUGAGAGGGUGACCGGCCACAUUGGGACUGAGAUACGGCCCAGACUCCUACGGGAGGCAGCAGUGGGGAAUAUUGCACAAUGGGCGGAAGCCUGAUGCAGCAACGCCGCGUGCGGGAUGACGGCCUUCGGGUUGUAAACCGCUUUCGCCUGUGACGAAGCGUGAGUGACGGUAAUGGGUAAAGAAGCACCGGCUAACUACGUGCCAGCAGCCGCGGUGAUACGUAGGGUGCGAGCGUUGUCCGGAUUUAUUGGGCGUAAAGGGCUCGUAGGUGGUUGAUCGCGUCGGAAGUGUAAUCUUGGGGCUUAACCCUGAGCGUGCUUUCGAUACGGGUUGACUUGAGGAAGGUAGGGGAGAAUGGAAUUCCUGGUGGAGCGGUGGAAUGCGCAGAUAUCAGGAGGAACACCAGUGGCGAAGGCGGUUCUCUGGGCCUUUCCUGACGCUGAGGAGCGAAAGCGUGGGGAGCGAACAGGCUUAGAUACCCUGGUAGUCCACGCUGUAAACGGUGGGUACUAGGUGUGGGGUCCAUUCCACGGGUUCCGUGCCGUAGCUAACGCUUUAAGUACCCCGCCUGGGGAGUACGGCCGCAAGGCUAAAACUCAAAGGAAUUGACGGGGCCCCGCACAAGCGGCGGAGCAUGCGGAUUAAUUCGAUGCAACGCGUAGAACCUUACCUGGGUUUGACAUGGAUCGGGAGUGCUCAGAGAUGGGUGUGCCUCUUUUGGGGUCGGUUCACAGGUGGUGCAUGGCUGUCGUCAGCUCGUGUCGUGAGAUGUUGGGUUAAGUCCCGCAACGAGCGCAACCCUUGUUCACUGUUGCCAGCACGUUAUGGUGGGGACUCAGUGGAGACCGCCGGGGUCAACUCGGAGGAAGGUGGGGAUGACGUCAAGUCAUCAUGCCCCUUAUGUCCAGGGCUUCACGCAUGCUACAAUGGCUGGUACAGAGAGUGGCGAGCCUGUGAGGGUGAGCGAAUCUCGGAAAGCCGGUCUCAGUUCGGAUUGGAGUCUGCAACUCGACCUCAUGAAGUCGGAGUCGCUAGUAAUCGCAGAUCAGCAACGCUGCGGUGAAUACGUUCCCGGG
rnacentral:rRNA from 1 species